AUGUUCUUCUUCAUCUCGCUCCUUUUAUGGUUUUUCCUCUUCUUGCUCCUGUUGUACUUGUUCAGCAACGUGGAUGUUGAAACAAAUCCAGAAGUUACUAGGAGGACGACGAACAAACCGAGGAAGCAUGAGCUUUGUUCCGUCCUCUGCAACCACGUUCAUCGACACCACCUCCGCCGACACCAAAUCUUGUGUCCUCAUGGCCAGCGAGUAGAAAGCCAGGGGAAAGACUGUGUCGUCGAUGAUAAAGCUUGCCGCACCCUGCGCGACACCGCGGCCCCGUGGUUCGAGGCUCCGAGUUUGCAUUAUCCUGCACAAGGUUUUGAUUUUUGGAUUACGUUUUUUUUUCACGCCCUGAACGAGUGA
rnacentral:rRNA from 1 species